AUUGAACGCUGGCGGCAUGCUUUACACAUGCAAGUCGAACGGUAACAGGGUGCUUGCACCGCUGACGAGUGGCGAACGGGUGAGUAAUGCGUCGGAACGUGCCGAGUAGUGGGGGAUAACGCAGCGAAAGUUGUGCUAAUACCGCAUACGUACUGAGGUAGAAAGUGGGGGACAUUCGGGCCUCACGCUAUUCGAGCGGCCGACGUCGGAUUAGCUAGUAGGUGAGGUAAAGGCUCACCUAGGCGACGAUCAGUAGCGGGUCUGAGAGGAUGAUCCGCCACACUGGGACUGAGACACGGCCCAGACUCCUACGGGAGGCAGCAGUGGGGAAUUUUGGACAAUGGGCGAAAGCCUGAUCCAGCCAUGCCGCGUGUCUGAAGAAGGCCUUCGGGUUGUAAAGGACUUUUGUCGGGGAGGAAAUCCCCAGCGUUAAUACCGCUGGGGGAUGACAGUACCUGAAGAAUAAGCACCGGCUAACUACGUGCCAGCAGCCGCCGCGGUAA
rnacentral:rRNA from 1 species